rnacentral:lncRNA from 1 species
AGUGGGUGUAGAGCGUGUCCUGGUUGCCUUCGAUGGAGCAGUGGUAGACGACGGCCUUGUCGGCGCCGACUAGGAGGGCUACCGCUUGGUGGUUCGAUGGGCCGGCGUUGUUGACGAUGGUCAGGUCCUUGGCGAUGAAUCCGCUCCCCAGGGCAGCUAACAUCCACGGAAAUUUCACGAUUAAGAAACGGCUUUCAUUAAGCUUUUGUGUGUCUUGCAAUACUGUUGUGUACUAAUUUAUCUUGAUUCUAAGCUGUUUUUUCUCGCAAUUGCAAAAACAUGGCGCGAUCAUUGGAGGCGAAACGUAGACGAGGAUGUUCAUGGCUUUUGUUUUUCACCUACCCACGGUGGCAGACUGGUACGUACUCCAGCCGUCCUGCGCGUUGCGGCUGCCGACGAUGACAGACCUGCCCUUCCCGUCGCCAACCAGCAUGACGUUUGCCUGCCCCUUGGUGAUCUUAACAUUUUCCAUGUACGUCCCCGUCUUGACGUAGAUCACUCUCCGCCCCCCGCCACCGCUGCCCGCGAGAGACACGAAUGCCAGAGCCUCCCCGAUGCUCCUGUGGGUCCCGCUGCUGUCCAUGGCCACCACGGCAUCGACGAGCAUGUCCUUGCCGGGGAUCGACAACAGCUUCCUAUCCGAAGCCGACACCCAUGACGGGAAGCUGUCGCGGGAUAGCAGCUUCCGCCCGCCCCCGCCCACGAAAUUCGUCCAGCUGGCCCCCCUGGGGAGCUCGACAGACUUGACAAGGGCCAGUGAGUUGCUGACAAGAUGAGUCAGUAUCUCAGCUUGGGAAUCGAAGGACGCGUCUCCGGAGGCAGGAGGCUUGCUUCUGAGGCUCUCCAAACAGGUCACCUGGUUGGUCAACGCUGCGCUAAGCCAAGUCUCGACAUCUUCCUGGCUCGGUUGCUUCCGGUCGUCCAUGACGUCACUUAGUUGCGACAGUGUGGCGUCCAGCAGCUCGACGCAGUCGUAGGUCCCCGUUGGGGGGUACGGCUGAGAUCGGUGCUCGUAGGGGAAGGUCAGGUUGUACGCCAGAGACCUGGUGGCGUGAGCCCGGGACAUGGCGAACUCGAUAGAUACGUCAAAGAGGUGCCUUGAUGUCUUCAUAGCCGUGCCGGAGACGGUGGCCAGCGCCGACUCGCAUUCGGUCGGGUAAAGCGUACUCUUGCAGGCAGUUGAUAUCACGCUGGAAGUGGCGAGGAUCGGUUUCGCGGUGGGUAUCCUCGAGACUAUGUUUCGGAGGCCCCGGGCAAGCGAAGACGAUCCUUGCAGCUUCACGCCUUUGAGGGAGAUUAUGCCGGUUAGGAGCAUUACCAGGCAUGCCGUGCAUCCCCAUAUGACGAGCUUCUUCUUAACCUGAUCUUCUCGCCUGAGGUCCAUCCUCUGAUCUGUGUUCUUGCCCGCUGAAGACCUCAAUUUUUUUCCUUCACAUGAACGGGAUGGGGUGGGGGAGACCAGUGACUACGUGAGAGUGAGCACUCUGUACGCCUGCGUGAGCGGCAAUGCCAAGGCUACAUUUAUACCCCAAAUGAAUCCCUUCGCGAAAUUAAUUCUGUCGCUCACUGCACCAUUUCGCCUAAAGAGGACCUGUUUCUUUGCUCGCCUCCACGACAGACAUAGAAACGUAGACGCAUCGUAUUAGAAUAGUCAAGCAACUGGGAUAGUAAGCUCCUCGUCCCUCCCUCGUGUCGACACGUAGUCUAGAGAAGAUGCUCAGCAUGUCAAUGUCAUCUCUGCUUCCCAUUAUCCCAGGCACCACCAUAAUCUAUAUGUUUGCGUGUGUAUAUUAGUAAAGGUUUCAAUUGAUUUGACGCACGAACCUAAAGUCCUUAUGCUCGCAUCAGCUUCCACUUUCCACGAGUAGCCAAGGUAAAAAGUCGAAGACACGAUCAGACCUUGUCGACAGUCUGUCAUGAACCAGUAGUGAACGUUCUACAGCAGAUUAAGAAACCCUCUCAUUGCCUUUAUGGCUGCUUGUCAGGUUCCAAAUGGGUACGUGGACAAACUGCUAGAAGAGUUGCAGGGUAGUCACACGCUUCGUCUACCUUUCGUGAUGUUCAUUCACUAGAGUCUAUUCAUCAUAGCUAGUAAGACGACCUCACAAAAUAUCCACAGAGGGUAUUCAUGGAAUGCUUUUGGUGAUAAUAAGAUUUUUUAAUUUGUCAGAACUUCGGAGUAGAUUUACGAAUGAUUUAGGAGUAAGAACGGACGUACUUUUUAUUUUCAUAAAAUGAAGCAUCAAUUCCGUUCCGCACUAACAUUGGCCUCGAGGGGAGAAUCUUACGGUGCGCUAGAAGUGGUCAAUCUCGAGCCGCUAGUCAGAUCUCCUAUAUACGAGAUUGAUAUAAGGUCUACGCCAAAGACGAGAUUCUCAUCAUUCUAUGUGCAACAACUACUUAUAAACGUCGUUCUUUCAUUAACCUUUCGUGAGUUCUGACUCUUAACUAGAAGCUCAUGACACCUGGAUGAAGAAACACAAGAAAUUAUCAUGCUUGAUUCAAAAACGUUCCAUUUGACCAAAGGUUCCCAUCAAAAUAUUCUUUAAACAUCGAAUUUCAGAAGAAAAUACUCUUUAAUUUUGAGAUCAUCACGUAUUACCGGAAAAGCUGUUCUCUCUUAUGUGAUUUGACGUAAGCUUUACUAAAUUUUUCAUUGCCAUAACGGUCACAUUUUUUUUGGAAGGUGUUUACAAGAUGUAAAAUAAAUUGUCUAUUGAACUCAGUUGGUGAUUCUUCGUCUCAGCCUGGUCCUUGGUUAUUUGCUUCCCAAACCUGACUCAUCCCUCAUACGUCUCUCAAACUCGAGGAACAGGGGUCUAGUCACUUUCGUCGUGAAUGGUAUCGACAAAAUAGUGUUCAAUAUAGAUAACUUCAAUCCAUCUUUUCUGGACGAAUACUACGCGCGGCGACGCAAGAACAUCAUGUCUUAUCACGUCACUGAUUCAAUAAAACAACAAAGGUGGGAAUCCUUUCUUUACGUCGAGUAUUCUCGAAGCGUCUCUGAACUUGAUACAUAUAAGUGAUUUGAUUAUUCUUCUCUCUUGUUCAGAAUAAGUCUCUUUUAUAAUUCUGAUUAUGAAUGAUGCUACACUCAAAGUGCCCUUCCUAUGUUAUCUGGACGAAAUGAAUAAUCGUCACUUUUCCUAUGAUCACAAUUCAAGUAACCUUUCAAAUAUUAUUGAUUAAAACUCUCAUCAAAGUAAACAAGCAUCAGAAACUGACCCCCAAUCUCCGCUCGGCAUCUACCAGUUUCAUCUAUGAUUAUAUUCUCUUAUCCUCAAGCAUUAGGUGAGACGUCUAAUCUGUAGGGUGCGCUCUGGUCUUGGGCCUAGGGGUCGAUGUCUCGGCUACCUGCAGAGGUUGAAGCGCUGAUGUUUUCCCACCUCUGCCGGCGAGGUGGGUUCUAGACCUUAGAUACGACGGCAGCAUUGACUGAACGGCAUUGAUAUGUUUCCGGAGCUUCAUUUCGUUCUUCUCCGAGAGCUUGAAGAUAUUUAAUAUGUUCUUUUGGAUGAAACGGCAUUGAUUUGCGGCGCCCGCAUCACGCCUAUGCAUGGAGCAGUUCUCAUAAAUCCAAAGCUUCAGAUACCCAUCGGUGGGUAUUUGUGUAUGUCGCAUAAGUGCGACGUACUUGUUCAACGGAGGAUAAUGCUCAACAGCAAAGAUCAGCCUCAGAGCAACUCCCCUGUAAAGACGACUCUAAAUAUAUUUGCCCAGAGUUAUAACUCAUCUUGAUCAUCUCAUCGGUCCCCUUAACCCGCAAGAGAUCCAAUGUUACCGGAAAAAUUAACUUGUUUAAUGCUACAGUGAAUCUUGGUUUCGUCGUCAAAUGGGUCCAUAGGUCAUUCAUUUAAGAAAGAUCACCAAGAACGUGUAGUCCAAUCCAUCGUUCUACUUGACAGACGGGUCCUAGUUGACACCAGAGAUAGAGACUUCAUGUGUUUUAAAUUCUAAAGCGCAUGACCUUUGCCGAACUCCAUUUGAUGGGUUAAUCAUGUGCUGUAAAUUCCUAUUAUUGCUUGUUCUUCUCUCUCUCUCUCUCUCUCUCUCUUACACACACACACACACACACACACACCACCCACGCACGCAGGCACACGGACACUCACACGCACAAUAACACACACGCAUGCGCAUACACAAGCACACCCACCCUGCCACACAUGCACACACGCACUCUUCCUCUAUCACUGCACAUCCCCAUUAUCUGAGUGCAAAUCCCUAUUGUCCAUUUGCUUGAGGCUCUACUUUCCUCGACGACCACCCUCCGAUUCUUCCCCUUUCCACUUCCACGGGGGAUUACCUCUUAUUUGAUAUCAGUCUCGCCAUUCUUCGGCUGGCUAGCACGACCUCGAUUGAGUACGACUUCCACGACUCCCCCCAUGAUGCUGACUCUCGUAUCUCCUUGCACGAGCCAGAUCUUACCCUUAAUUAUCCUCCUUGUAGGCGCCAUGACAAUCCCCGUCAGCUUCCACUCCUUUGACAGCAAACACUCGGGUGGCCCUCCCUCCACAGAGAAGAGAUCGAUGGGAAGGUAUCAAGAGCUGUUGCUGUCCUUGUCGCGACAACAGACUGAGAACUGCACGAACAACGCCCCCAUCGGGAAGAGCACCGCACACAUAAUGUACGCCACAAUUUUUUUUUUUACAGUUUAUUGUCUUUUCUAAUAUAUUUUCUUAAUUUAAAUUUCAAUUUGGCGGAGGAAUAAAGAAACCUGUAGACAUCCCACUUGACAGUGCAAACGGACGGAGGGAGAAGAUGAUCCGACAAGGUCAUCUGCAGCGGGUCGAUCUGGUAGCGUUUGAGGUCGAGACGCCUGGUCAAAGCGGGCCUAAUGAUUACUAAACAUCUUUUUGAGCUAAAUCAAUGAUAUGGGGGGAAGUUGGUAUUUUUCUUUCGAGCUUUAACUACCGGUAGAUACGUCGCCUGGAAUAUCAGGCGGUUCCGUCGUGACUUGACAGUCCGUACGAUAUAAAUUCCUCCGUUGGUGAUCAUCGCAGAAGCAUAGAGGUUGUGAAAAUUGACAUCAUGUUCUUAAUCGUUUUAUUGGUCUCCUGAUCUCCACUCACACGUUUUAAAAUAGAUCAAUCUUACCUUGCUGUUGCCUUGCCCCAUUCUCGAUUUUCUUAAGGACAAGUGGGCCAUGAAGGGUUCCAUGUUGCUCCAAGACUUUUCUGGUCAUAUAUGACGCUGACCAAGAGGCAAAAAUGGUGUAAACCAGACAUCAAUCAAUAGAGAAUGUGAAAUAUCAUCCAUAGAUAAGAAAUUGCAGUGCAACGGCCGACGCGGAGGGCCCAGACGCGGAUAAGGGGAUUUGGUGCCGCCGUCCCAGCGAUGUGACGUGUAAGGGACCUACAUCAAACCACUAUGUCCUGAUUGCGGACUGCGGGUAAUAACCCACAAUUCUAGACGAAGAUGUGGGUAUAGUAAAGAAAGAAAGGAGCCCUUCUGAGCGUUGUGAUGUAAAAUACGUCGGUAGAAGGUCCACUAAAGAUCACAGGGCUUAGAGAGUUGUAUUCCAGCCGACGAAGAACGCGGAUGAUGCGUUUACGGAAGGAAGAAGUGGAUCUUCAUUUAGUCAUGUUCUGAAAAGAUAAAAUAAUUUUCGUGCCUGCAGACACACCGACCUUACGGUCUUUGUCAAUCUCAUUUCAACGUGACUCGCUAGAGUCCGGGUUCAUAAGUCACCCCCGUUGAAGGAAUCCAUGAAGUUCCUUGGAUGAAAUUUGACACGGUGAACUUGGAACUCUCGCUGGUACCAAUAACGUGGAACCCGGGCCAAUCAACCCGGCUCGAGGUUCUGGCGCCCGGUCCCCCAUUGAGUCCCUCGGCGAAGUAGAGCGUGCGGAGGGCAAACCCUCCGGACUUUUCUAUCCACCCUCUAGGAUGAAUGGAAUCAUCAAUGCUAGACUGAAUGAUUACCGUCCUCGCGUACUCCUUCCACGGACGGCCCAAGUAAGAACCAACCGAGUGGCGCACGGGGGAGAGGUCCGAGCCAGCUUGGACGCUGCACUUUUGGGCAACGAGGCCCGUAUUCUGGCCGGGGUCCGUCCUGCCGCUGGCCAUGAUCACGUUACGACCACCUGAUCUUGGCCGGCGUAGGACCAGGUUACAGCUCUGGAAGAUGGCGGCUGCGUUUCCGAAGAUAAAGUCAACGGUGCCAUAAAUGUCGCAAUCCCGGUAAAACUGCCGGAAGGCUUGCGCGAGGAGCGUGUCUUGGUAACCCCGAAUGCUACACCGGUAGAGGACGGCACGGUCAGAAAGGAUUCGAAGGGCGACAGCCUGACCUCUGGUGGGGCCUGCUGAGUUCUCGAACCCGAUGUCCUUCGCGAUGAAUCUGUCCCCUGUCACCACUGCAAUUACAGUGUGCACCAGUUUAGUUCAAAACAAAUCAGACGCUGACGUCAAGUACACUAACUGCAUUAAAGAGUGAAACUCUUCUUAAACAACGCAGAGGAAACAAAUCUUACACCUGUUGAUGAUAAGGACCCAUGAUAAAUAUGUAGCCUCCGUGAGCAUUAGAUUUACUUACAUAAUUUUCUAGAAAAAUCCAACCUUUAUCGUUGGUACCUUGGAGAACUAAAAAGUAUUUCGGGGAUGACCUACUUAACUAGUGAGAUUAAUGAAGCUAAUCCUUAUGAAAAGAGAAAAGUCAGAGAAAGUCAACAUGAUUUAUCAUUUUUGUUCACACAUGGGGAUCUAUGCAAGUAUUUCCGUAAACCUACCGACGGUUGCAGAGCUGGGCAUGGUUGCGCCGCCAACGACGCUGGAGUCGUAUGUGAUGACCGUUUUGUACUUCCCCUCUCCCACCAGCGUCACGUCAUCUCUGCUCACUGUGAGCUUCUCCUUGUACACUCCUGCCUUCAUGAAGAUCACUGUUCGGCCACCGCCAGCAGAGCUACCCGCAAGCGCGGCUCCUAUGGAGGUGUAAUCCCCAGAGCCGUCGGCCGCCACCACCGCAGUAGCCUUUAUUUCGGCCCUACCGAGGAGUUUACGAUCCUGCUUGGAGACCCACGUCGGAAAAUCCUGCUCGGAGACGUGACGCCGGGUGACCCGACUUUCCGCACCGUCGGGGAUGCGAUUGGCGAGGGCGAGGGCGUUGCUAGAUAGCACGGCCAGGCGUUCCAUCUUUCUGGACAUCUCCUUUGACAGGGCGCUGGGUAGUUCGCUGACCGAGUCUUUGCACGAUUCCUGAAACGUGAUCACGGCGCUCAACCAUGUCUGGAUGUUCUGUUUGUCCUUGACAGGUGCGACCUCGAGGGCAUUCAGGGACUGGUUGAGCCUUCUAAGAGAAAUCUCCAUGAGCUCAUUACAGUAACCUGCAAGUUCAUGCCACAGGGAUCAGUGCGUGAUAUCUGGUGGCCCAUAUAUGGCAAACCUUGUAACCACAAGCGCGAAUAAGUUGAUAGCCAUGCAAACAUCGCCUACCUAUGGCCUCUCGUGCUCCUGAUAUUUCAACAGCCUCAAGUGAGGAGGACAAGGAAACCCCCGGCGUGACCUCAUCUCUGAUCGUCUCUACAAGAACGGAAGCAACGCCAGCAAAAUCCUGCCUGAACGAUGUCUCACGUCUAGAAAGAAGGGUAUCAACGCACUGCUGCGGAUAUCUGGCGUAUCCACAUACUCUGCUGACAUCUUCGGCAUAUGAUGCCUUCCCGUGGGCUGCCGUGAUCCACGAGAGGACCAGCAUUGGAGCUAACAGGGAGAGGAGGAGACAUGCUCUCACAGAGAAAGAUAGGGAACAGAGAGUCCGCCUGCACAUCCUUCCCUCAACCGAGAGAGCCGGAUUUCGUCCAAGCACACGGACUAACAUAGCUGCUUGCCGGGUUUUAUGAGUUCUGGGAUCUCGAAGCCGUCCCCAUCGAGGCCUUCAUGGUCGCUCUUGGUUGGUGACUAGUCCGUUCUUAUUACUUUAGACGGGUGACGUAUGAAGUUCCGAAUCGUCAUCUGGCCGCAUGCUAUCCAGAGACGUGCUAUUUUGGAAUUCUUUAAUUCAUGGCCAGAAUUUCGCACAAUCCUCCUAUGGCUGAAAUCGUUCUUGCCAGUAGGAGUGAAACCAGAUCCCGCGGCCUUUGCAAAUCAUACAGAUACCUAUGCCUUCCGGUAGGUAGUGGCCGACAAGAGGAAGUUCUUUGCUACCGUGGCCGAAGUGUUAUAAGCACGUCCGACAAUACGACACUCCCCAGCUAAGGCGCAUUUCUCAGUUGUUGUGGUAGGCUAAGAGGGGACGGCGACAGAGUUUAUUUAGCUCGAUUCCAAGGCCUGUAGCGUUCUUACCGGUCAGCAGAGGGCACGGCGACAUUGGAUCACCAACCCUAGCGGUAGAAAAUUUUCUCUGGUUGACAGUGUGGAACCCGAUGUUCAAGAGGCUGUCUUUGCAGCUGCAUGCCAAUAUACACGGUGAAGGCGGCGACGGGUCGAUGGCAUCAAAGCUUGUUAGAUCGCGUGAGCGUGGUGACGGCAUGGCCUGCUGCAGGGUAGGCGUUGAAGAAGAAGGUUCACACCACGUUGACAGGUGAUAGCCGGAAGCUCCGGGAAGAGGCCACCCGAAAGGUGCUGGACAGCGCAGCGAAAAUAACGGAGUUGACGUAGACAGAUACCGCCAGAAGGCAGCUCACGAUCGAGGAUGGAGAGAGCAAAGGAGCUGUCCGGAUAAAAAGAUAGCCUCGGGUUUCUCUCUCGUCUACACUUGCUCCAGAGUCAUCCGGAUCGUCAAAAAUCUAUGGGUGUCUGCCACUGCCUUAAAGUCGCCAUAGUUUUAAGAUGGCCAGUGCCUGGUCAUGUGCGCAGGUAAAUAAAAAAAAGCUGUGAACGGUUCCUGAUUUCUCCACGAAUCGAAACAAAAUGGAACGAUUCAAUGACAAGGACGUCUCACGCAUCAACAACUCUUCCGGAUCUCAUCAGGAUUUGAUUUUCAGGAGAAGAUCCUGAUUGAGCGACCCAGAGCAAGUCCACGAACCGAAGAUGGUUGAAUCGCACUUUGCUUAUGAAACUCAGACCCUCCGCAAUUGGGAUGACUUUCGCAGGGCGGGAGAGCGAGAGAGAGAGAGAGAGAGAGAGAGUCAGUGGGUCGGGGUGGUUUGAACGUCAAUUGGGAUGCNNNNNNNNNNNNNNNNNNNNGAGAGAGAGAGAGAGAGAGAGAGAGUCAGUGGGUCGGGGGUGGUUUGAACGUCAAUUGGGAUGCCGUGGCCUCUCGGGCCCUCUACCUAGAUAAGCACACUUUAACAACCCCCACAGUUGACUCCGGCGUUCUCGGCUACGUUUUACAGAAGAAUGACGUAAGCGGGUAGGCAGAUGCACACGCCGAUAUGAAAUCGCUGUUGAAACAGGCACCAUGAGCGUACUUCAGUGGGCCGUCCUUCUUUGCAUUCCGUUUACAAUGCACGAGGCCCAUCCUCCGUGGACUGGUCAACUCCUCGUGCACGUCUUCUGUCUCGUGAGGUUCGAGGCCCGGUCACGCUGGACGAGGCCCUGGCCCAGACAUGGUGGGCCGGACACUGGCCCAUAAGCCCUUUAACCCUCCUUAUUGGGCCAUUUCCCUUUUCCCUUCUUGUUUCCCUGCCUAUAUAAGUAAGGCGCGAACCCACGCAACUGGGAGGCAGUGAAGUUUCGAACAAGCAAGUCUAGUUUCCUUGCCUGUGUGGCUCCCCUCGGUCGCAAGCCCCCGUCGCCCCGGUGGGGUUGGUCGGAGGACCCCGCUGCUCGUGGUUAAGAGCCCCGCCAUCUGUCCGUCGCGGCUUCUGCGCCGCCGCUGCCGCCAUCAACCGGUGCCGCAGUCCCUGUCUGUUGCCACCGGUCCGCCACUGUCGCCGCCUCCGCCGGCGCCCCUCCGCCGGCUGCAGUCCUCGCCAGCGCCCCUCCGCCGUCGGCAACCGCUGCCGGCGCCCCUCCGCCUCCUGCCGCCGCUGCAGCCGUAACUGCCCCGUCGGGCUGGUAUUUCCCAAAUUAGGGCUUAAACGCCCUGGUUCGCGGGGUACUGGGCGCCAGAACCAGCCGGUUCGGAUCCACCCUCGCCGGACCGGCCUCGUCUGGGCCAGCCCAGGCCGGCUCCAGCCCCUUUGCCUGAACCGGUUCGAGCCGUCGACUGACCUGGUCCGCACCGUCUGUCCGAGCCAAGGCUCGGCCAGCCGCCCACGACCUGGUCAGCGGGAAACCUUAGUCAACGGUCACCAAUCACUUCUGUGCCCCAUGGCCUCUCUGGUGACUCUUUCCACAGCCAAUACAUUACACUCAUGUUACCUGUUCUUUUAAUAUGUUCUUGUGAUCGUCGCCAAGUAAUCUUAUAGGUUAGUCGCUUUUGAUAUUGAGUGAUCCCUUACCCUUGAUUUCGUCACAUCUGUUUUACUAGAUUUUGAGCAUCCUAUGGUUGGCCGUUUGCAUAAAUCGCUUGGUCCUCACCUGCUGUCUUAAUUGAGGAUGAUUUUUGAGCUGCUUAUGACUUCCGAAAUUUCCCCGUCUCGAGUUCUUUUGGACAUUACGUGUGAUUUCUGAUUUCGUUCAUUUGAUCAUCAUUAUGCCUCAUUUUUCAUUCCCAUCACCCGGUUUGAUAACAGGCUGGGAUUAAGUACGUUAACUUGGUACGAAUUCUAGUUGAUCAAACUUUCAGUUUGAUGACAACCUUAUUCCUCUGGUAGGUUGACCUAAGCUUUUAGGUAAGCAGCUGAACUGAAAAUAGUAAUUGGAUGGGUUUCAACCAUUCGUGCCUUUGGGUUGAAUAAGUUAAGAGAUUAUAUUCGAGUUCAUCCCAACCAGGCCUGGGACGUUUCUUCUUAACCGGCCAUCCGAACCAAUUAAACUCGGACAGCAGGGUCAUCUGGGAUAAAUUCAGAUUGCCUAGCAUGAUCGGGAUUCUAGCCAAUUGUCAUACUGCUACAUAUACCCAUGACCGUGCACCAAUUAUCAUACUUGGCUGUGGACACAAACAGUUCUCUGGAAGAUUGAAAUUUGAAGCCCUGCUUCCUUUCUAGCUGUUUGAGGACGGUGUGCUCGAUGUAGAGGACAGGACUGGAUGGAGGGAUAGAAGCACCCACUGCAGUGAUAUUGGGACAUUCGGAGGCAAGGGCUGAGGUCGACGCUUGUGCAGGAAACCAGUUGUUGUCGAAUGUGAGCUGCACAUCUGAGAAUUGGGAAAUCUCGACCACACUCAUCGUCCAGUGGAAUCCAGCCCAGAGGUGGAGGUGCUGACGUACUCAGCAAAAUACAAGGCAAAUGAGACAAAGCUACCUAACCUCAGCCAUUCCCAAUCUGCAGGGGAUGAUGUUGUCGACUAACUGAAUUAUCACCACUCUAGAGCACUGCUGCAGUCGGUUGAUGACGAGGUGUGAUGGCAUGCUGCGCUUCACGUUGGUGGUGCUGCUUUUGGCAGUUCUGCGGCAUUUUUUUGUAGCGGAGUUCUUCUGGCCCGGGUUGGGCAUCCACAGGUGGAUGCUGCAACCCACAGGGCAACAGCAGAGUUGCCCAAGAUGAGCUUGACAGUCCAUGGAUUCUGGAUUUCUGCUAGGAACGCAAAGAUUGGGUAGAGCGUGUCCUGGUUGUCCUUCAUUGGCUAGUUGUUGGUGAUGGCCUUCCAACCCCCAAUUCGGAGAAUCGAUUGGGCAAGGUGGCUGACAAAGGUCAGAUCCUUGGCGAUGAAUCCUCUCCACUCGGUGGCUAUCAUACACCAUAAGAUUGUACGAGCAUGAUCGCGUUUCAUUUUUUCCCUUCCAAAUAGAUAAUAGCUUAUAUCGUUGAUUUCCAAACUAUUUUUGGUCUCAUCAGCAGCAGCUAAGGGCGUCACUUUAAGGGUUAACAUAGAGAAGAAUGUGCUUAGGUUUUGUCUACCAUCUACCCACGGCAACGAAUGCCAUGCCGGUUAGUGAAGGGAGGGGUGAGUAGAGAAGACUGUUUAUCAUGCCCUUCAAUGGCCCAAUAAUGGGCAGGUCAAACUAGAAAAGAGAAUGGUUCAGUUAAACCGUUUUAGCUUGACGUAGUAAACGGUUUGCACGUUUUUGAGGAGUCACUGACACAUUUCAUGAGGCAGUUCAAUGAGAUCUAUAAAUAGAGGCCACCUCUUCUCAUUUUAUAGCACUAGUGACCAGAGGGUACUAGAGAGGUCAGGAGAGGGUUACCAAUGAAGUGAUCUUUACUUGUUGGUGAGGGACUAACAGAUUUUUUGAGGGCCAAGAUUAGUGAUAUGUAUUCUAGGUUUAAAAGAGUGAUUUUCUAUACUUCUAUAUCUAGUGAAGAUUUUUUUCACCAUUCAUGAACGUAGAAGAUUGACCUCUAAACUAUGUAAAUUAUUGUGUCUCUAGUUGUGAGUUGUUUAUUUCAUUUAUGUCUUUUAGCUUUUGUGCUAAGUUUAUAUUGGGUUUUUAUCUCUAACAAGUGAUAUUAGAGUUGUGAUUCUUGUUAAUGACUAUGGAGACAUGAGAUAUUUCUCGUAUGAUCAACUUGAAUGAGAAUAACUAGACAAUAUAAAAACUAAGAAUAAAAGGUCUAUUGCAUUGCAAUGACUUAUAUGAAGCCUUACAAGGAGAUAGUGCAAAGGUAGGGGCGACAUCAGUUGAUGAUUAGAAAAGGCUAGAUUUAAAGACUAUUGACUUCAUCAGACAAUGGCUUAAUAAUAAUAUUUUUCACCAUGUAUCUACUGACAACUUUACACAUUUUCUUUGGAAGAAGCUAUAAAGUUUUUAUGAGAGAAAGAUGGUAGGUAACAAGGCAUUAUUGAUUAAGAAGCCUAUGAAUCUGAAGUACAAGAAGAGAUCUUUUAUUAUUGAGCAUUUAAAUGAAAUACAUAGUAUUAUUAACUAGUUGACCUCUAUGAAUAUAUGUUUUAAUGAUGAGUUGUUGACUUUGUUAUUUCUUAGUUUGUUGCCAUAUAGUUGUGAGAUGUUGGUGGUGUAUCUCAUCAAUUUUACCAGAUGAUAUUUUCACUAUGAGCCAAGUAACAAAUAUCUUACUCAAUAAAGAGUUGAGACCAGAAAAACUUUACUAAUUCUUAUAGUGAGGCACAAACAUUUGUCACAUAAAAUAGAGGGUGGUCAAAGUCAAGAGAUAAGAGUCACUCCAAAGGUAGAAACAAGUCAAGAUCAAGGAAAGAGAUCACUUGCUACAACUGUGGUGAAAAAAGACACUUCAAGAAUAAGUGCAAGUAGCCCAAGAAAAAUAAAAAAAAAAGUAGACAAUGAAGAUUCAAAAGGGAACACCAUGGCCACUAUUUAAACUGGUGAUUAUUUGAUUUUGUCUAUUGCUAAUGAUAUUUUUCUUGUGUUGGUAAAGAUUCAUAAUGAAUCAUUGAUAUAGGAGUCUCGUAUCAUGUAGUACCAAGAAAGGAGUCCUUUGCCAACUACAAAGCUAGAAAUUUGGGUGUUGUUAAGAUGAGCAACAAAAAGACAUCAAACAUCAAUGGUAUCAGUGAUGUCCACAUCAAGACCAAUUUUGGCUAUGAAUUGGUGCUAAAAAAUGUGAGACAUGUGACAAGUUUAAGAUUGAAUUUAAUUUUAGUUAGAAUGCUUGAUGAUGAUGACUUUUAUGACAAGUUUAGUGCAUGCAAUUGAAAGAUUACUAAGGGUUCACUUAUUAUAGCUUUUGGAAAGAAUUAUAAUACCUUAUACAGAAUGCAAGUUGCUGGUUGUAGCGAUCAGAUAAAUGUUACAAAAAAAGAUUAUAGUAUUAAAUUGUGACAUAAAUGACUAUGACAUAUGAUGAGAAGGGAUUACAAGCCCUCUCAAGAAAGGAAGUCUUACCCAAGUUCAAAAAUAUUUGUUUGAACCCAUACAUUGAUUGUUUGGCAGACAAAUGACAUUGAGUUUCUUUUUCUAGUCUACUUUUGUUUAAAAAAUUACAUAUUUUUGGAGUGAGUCUAUAUAGAUGUGUGGUCUAUUGAGGACAAAGACUGCUGGUGGUGUUAUUAAUGUUUAUGGCAUUAAUAAUGUAUUAUAUUUUAUCACUUUCAUUAAUGAUAAUUCCAAGAAAGUUUGGGUGUAUCUUUUGAAGACUAAAGACCAAGUUGUUGAUGUCUUUAAAGAAUUUCAUGUUAAAGUGGAGAGGGAGACUGAUAGAAAGUUGAAAUACAUAAGAUUUGAUAAUGGUAAUGAAUACAUGUGCUUGUUUGAUGAAUAUUAUAAAAAAUAAGAUAUUAUUCAUGAGAUGAUAGUUUCAAACACUCCUUAGCACAAUGUAGUUGCAGAGAUGAUGAAUUGCAUAAUUAUGGAAAAUAUCAGGAGUAUGCUUUCACAUGUCAAAUUACUUAAAAGGUUUUGGGAUGAGGCAUUGAAGACAACUAUUGAUCUCAUUAAUUUAUAUCUAUGUAUGUCUUUAGAUGAAAAUAUUGCACAUAAUGUAUGUACAAAAAAAAAUAUUUCCUACAAGUACUUGAGAGUGUUUGUUUGUCGUACAUUCGCGCAUGUUCUUGAUAUGGAAAGGUUUAAAUUGAAUGGGAAGAUAAAAGAGUGUAUUUUUCUUGGAUACCUAUGUGACGAGUUUGGUUACAGAUUAUGAGAUCAAAUGAAGCAAAAGGUGUUCCAAAGUCGAUAUGUAAGCUUCUUUGAAGAUUAUAAUAUUGAAUAUAUAAAGAAGGUUGUAGUGGUAAAAAAUUUUGCAAAAGUAUUUGAAGAUUAUGACCAAGUCGUCCAUCAUGAGUACCAUGAUGGAUGGGGAGAAGUGUAAGAAGAAAGGGUUGAAGAUGAUGUAAAUUUAUCUACAAGAUAAAAAGAGGACUAAGGAAGAGAGCUACCUCUAGCAUAGCCUCAUCUUAUAAGGUCUAGUAGAUAGUAUCAACCUAUGCGAAUGUAUCCACAAGAAGAGUAUAUUAUAUUUCGUGAAUCCAGUUAAACCACAAAAUUACUACGGCAUUAAAAAGUAAGCAUAUUAAAACAUGAUUGGUAGUUACAUAUGAAGAAAUAAAAGUAUUGUAAAAAAUUAGAUAUAUGAUCUUGUGGAGUUAAGGAGAAGAAAGCAUUAAAGAAUAAGUGGAUUUUCAAGUUGAAGACCCAAGAAUAUACUUUAGUGCUAAAAUAUAAGGCUAGAUUGGUUGUCAAAGGCCUCAAUCAAGUGUAAGGUAUAGACUUUGAUGAAAUAUUAUCUCAUGUUGUGAAAAUAUCUUUUAUUUGUGUUGCUUUAAGUAUGAUUGUUAGUAUGAACUUGAAGGUCAAACAACUAAAUGUAAAGAUAACAUUUUUUCAUAGUGUUUUAGAGAAGGAGAUUUACAUUGAACAACUAGAAGGCUUCAGGAUAUAAGGAAAAGAAUAUAUGGUGUGUAAAUUGAUGAAGAGCUUAUAUAGACUAAAACAAGUGCCAAGACAAUGGUACAAAAAGUUUGAUUUAUUUAUGAUUGGAAAUGGUUACAAACGUACUUCUACAAACUAUUAUGUAUACAUCAAAAAGUUUGAUCAGAGUUUUGUGAUUAUCUUAUUAUAUGUUGAUGAUAUGCUUAUCUUUAAGAAAGAUUUACCAACAAUCAAUAAGUUGAAGGAGUUAAAUAAGUCAUUUGCUAUUAUGUAUAUGGGGCCAACAAAGUAGAUACUUAGUAUGUAGAUCUUUCGUGACAGAAAGACCAAAAAUAUUUAGUUGUCAUAAGAAAAAUAUGUAGAAAAGAUACUAAAUAGGUUUGGUAUGAGUUAUAUAAAACUUAUUGAUUCUACUUUGACAAAUCACUUUAAACUUUAUGUACAACAAAGUCCGUUAAGUGAUGAGGCGAAUGAGAAGAUGAAGAAAGUAUUUUAUGCAUUAGUCGUUGAGAGUUUGAUACAUGCAAUAGUAUGUAGAAGACCAUACAUCAUAUAUGUAGUGGGUGUUGUUAGUAGAUUUCUUACAAAUCUAAGAAAGGAGCAUUGGGCAGCAGUCUAGGUUGUCUAAGUUAUCUUAAAAAGAAUAUUUAGAUACCUUAAAAGGAACUCUAAAAUUUGUCUAAGCUUUAGAGAUUGUGCUCCUAUAUUAGCAAGUUAUAUAAAUAUUGACAUAACCAGAGAUGUUGACACACAAAAGUUUACUUCAUGCUAUGUGAUUACUUUUGCAAAGAGAGUUGUGUCAUGCCAGUUCAAGUUGUAAAAAUAUGUUGUUUUGUCAACUAUAGAAGUUGAAUAUAAUAUUGUCACAGAAGUUUGUAAAGAAAUGUUAUGGAUGAAAGAAUUAUCAUAAGAAUUAAAACUAAUGUAAGAAGAAUAUGUAAUCUUUUGUGAUAGUCAAAAUACUAUUCAUUUAAGUAAAAAUCUUACAUUUUGUUCGAAGACAGCAUAUCGAUGUGUGUUACCAUUGGAUUAGAAAUGCAAUCAAAAAGAAAUAUUUAUAGAUCAAGAAAAUUCACACAAAAGACAAUGGAGCAAAUAUGUUGAUGAAAAUUAUGUCAAAAGAGAGGCAAGAGAUUUGUUGAAAACUAAUCGACAUGCACGCUCCUUGAGAAGUACGAUGACGAUCUCUCUCAUGAGUCGAGGGAGGAGGUUGUUGGGCACGUGGCUCAUAAAGUGGCCAUGUCCAUGUCAACUCAUAGGGUAGCAGAGAAGAUCACAUUUAAUGCAGAGAAGGAGGAGAGGGAGAGAAGAUGAGACAUUUGAAAUGGGCCAAGAUGUAGAUUGUUUUUCUAGCCCCUCAACAGUUUGAUAAUGGGCAAGUCAAACUAGAAAGGAGAACAGUUCAAUUGAAUCAUUUUAGUUUCACAGAGUAAAUGAUUUGUACAUUUCUUGAGAAGUCAUUGACACAUUUCUCGAUGCAACUUAACAAGGUCUAUAAAUAGAGGCCACCUCUUCUCAUUUUAUAGCACUAGUGACCAAAGGGUACUAGAGAGGGUUUUUAAUAGAGUGAUCUUUACUUGUUGGUGAGGGAUUAACAAAUCCUUCAAGGGCCAAAAUUAGAAACCUAUAUUCUAAGUUUUAAGAAGUGAUUUUUUAUACUUCUAUUAUAUUUAGUGAAGAUUUUCAUUGCCAUCUGUAGACAUAGAAGGCCAACCUCUAAAUUACGUAAAUUCUUAUGUCUCAAGUUGUGAAUUAUUCAUUUCAUUUGUCUUUUAAUUUUCACGCCAAGUCCAUAUUAGGUUUUUAUCUCUAACAUAAGGAUCUUAGCAUUUUUCAUGCACAACUUUGCCUUGAUGUAGAUCACUUUUUACUUCUACCACUGCUGCUCACGAGGGACACAAGAGCCAGAGCUUCCCUCAAUACUCUUGUGGGUCCCACUAUCAUCCAUCACCACCAUGGCAUCAACAAGGAUGCCCUUGCCGACAGUCAGACAUCAGCUUUCUGUCCAAAGUUAGCACCCAUGAUGGGAAGUUGUCACAGGAUAGCAGCUUCCGCCCGCCCCCGCUCUCAAAACUAUGUCCAGUCAGCCCUCCUCGGGAGCUCGACGGGCUUGACAAGGGCAAGUGAGUUGCUGACAAGAUGAGUCAGUAUCUCGCAUCACAGCUUGGGAGAGGCCGAGGAUGCGUCUCCGGAGGCAGGAGGGUUGCUUUUGAGGCUCUCCAAACAGGUCACAUAGUUAGUGAACGCCACACUAAGCCAAGUCUCAACACCUUCCCGAUUAGGUUGCUUCCGGCCGUCCAUGAUGUCGUUGAGCUUCUCCAGCACAUUGUUUCCACAGGGUUUUCUGCUCUGACACCAGAAUAACUGUUCGACUCUGUAUAAUUUCUCAGGAAGUAUCGGCUUGAAAAUUAUAGUCAGUAAUGUGCCCUGGAAAAGUAAACAAUUACUCGCGGAUCGAGAGGGCGCCAAAAGUUCGAUGUGGUCUGGAGGAAUCCUCCGUCCACAAAGAGAGCCACAAAGUUUUCAUCAUGUAUUUUAAGAAGUAUAUAAGUGAGGAACAUUGCAACGAACAAAUAGAUAUGUUCUCGAAUCCAGGUAUGCCAGACCUCAUCAUAUUCUCCAUCAACCAGUCCAUACUUUAAAAUUGUACAUCCCAGUGAAUAUAAAACUUUAAAAUAUAAAAGAAAAAUCCCAAGAAGUUGUAAUAUAGUAGAAGGGAUAUCAAGUAACAUUUCGAAAUACGACAUUUUUAAGAUCUUUUGUUUAGUAUUUUACUCCAUCUCAAGUCAUCGUAAAAGUGGUAGACUAGGUCAUUCCAAUUGUAACUUGCAAGUGCCUAAUGGCUAACUGAAAGUUCGUUACUACAGCACAAGCAUAAGCUAUGGUCAGAUGUUCAACAUCGUGGCAAGGAGCAAAGGAAUGAUCGCUUAGGUUUCAGGCAUUAUCGUGUCAAGAUCACUAUAAUGCAGACUUGAUAAAAUAUUGUGUUUUUCUUCAUUUUUUUGUCUCAUUUCCUAUUUUUUUCUCCACCACAAGUGACUGCAUACGUCGACUACUUUAUUGAUAGUUAUAAGCUAACCAAACCAUAUCCAAAGUUAUAGAUAUCAUUUAUGGUGUUGUUAAGCCAUAGCAGGAUUUACAAGAUUAUAUUUUACUUGUGUGUAACAUUUGUGAAAUGUCAAAACACAGCUUCAAAACUCAAUGGAAAUUAGUGAUAGGGUAAUGGUAUGGGUGAGCACUUAAUUACUACCAGCUGAAGGAUCUUUAUGUGAGACGUCCCAAAAUGGCCUUGUGUAAAGGGGACACGUUUCUUUUUUGCAUCUAUAAUAGACAUGGAAGCAUUUAGCCCACAGUACAAAACUUAUGUGACAACAUGAGUAUUCCCUUUUUAAAAAAAUGACAUCGAUUGCAUGUAUGUUUUAAAUUAUUCCUUUGUAAAAGUAUAUAUAUUUUUACCAUUAGACAAACCUUUUCUCGAUCAGAUGCCCUCAUAUCGUACAGAAGUCCCGUGCGUUUGAAUAAUAAAUAAAAGUUCGUCCUCAAAAAAUUGAUACAGAUAUUAUACGAAAUGGUUGCAAAUUUUCAUAGCUUUUUGUUUCAUCACAGUGAGGAUACCUGAAAAAACUUUCAAAACUACACCUUCAACGAUGGACUUGCACUAAUUUAAAUCGAGUGUCUAAUGAAAUGAGAUUAUUUGUUAAAUAAGGGCAUGCUGAGCGUUAUGUUAUGUUAACAUAAUAAUAUCAUGUAUAUCCCAGUUUUUACCUUUCAACUUGAAGAAGGCUUAAUGUGUCAUUUCAUCAUAUGGCGGUAACAAUAGACUUCCUGUCUGUUCUUCAAUGAAGAAAAUAUCAUAAGGUUGCCUAAUUUUUUUUUCUUCUUCCCCUUACAAUAAAGCCAUUUACUCAAAUAUUAACAUUACCUCGAAAACAGCUCAUUUCCUUUUAUUGUUAUUACCACAGACAACUUUUUGGACAACAACAUUCUCAAGAUCUGCGUGAAUAGAAUUGUAACUAAUUUAGAUGGGUUUUGAUAGAUUUACCUUCAUGCUCAACAUGCAUAAGCCAUGGUUCAAAUAUAAUUAGGUUCAGAGAAAUGUGGUCACGUACAGUGACUCUAAUUUAAGCCACAAGCAUACUGCUGAUUUCUCAUGGAUGGCUUCUUGGAAUUCCCGUUUGACAAACAAAGCUGAAUCGCAGGCGAACCUUUUCCCUCGUUCCAGUGUACAAAUCUUUGUCUUUGAAAGAUAAAGGUUCCUGUAAAACAGGGCUAAGUCUGAAACAAAACUCACCUACCAUGUAUCAAAAAGGAGGAAAAACAAACAGAGAUUCCCACAUCCGAUUCAAGAGUGGAUCUAUUAUUUUCUCUCAGGUUGAUGGCCAUUGGUUAUAUCCGACAUAAAUUUGACCAAAAGGUUCGAUAGAAAGCAUAAAAUUCAAGGUAACACUCUACAGCAGCCUCUCUUUGGUUUUUAGUAUGAUCACUCACGCAAAAUACAUUUCUUUAUACGAAAAUAAUUCAAUUCACUCUGCAUAUCAAGAGAGUACGGACGAUUUCUUACGAUUACUGUUGACAUAACCAUUUGUAUACAGGUGAUUAUAAUUAUUUCCUAUUAGUAGAUACUGGCCUUCGCCUCGGGUCGACAUCGACAGUGUUUAUUUUUCCUAUCAUCUGUACCUCAAACAUCAAAUGAGUUGGAUCGUCCUUUUAUUCGGUGAGAUGUCCAUCGCAGUAGGUUGCGCUCGAACCUUGUGUCGGCUACCUGCUACAAGUUGAACCGUCUAUGCUUUCCCACGGCUGCCGGCAAGGUGGUCGCUAGCCCUUAGAUACAACGGCGGCAUUGACCACCCCCGCUCCCGAAGCUUCACUUCGUUCUUCUCCGACAGUUUGAGGAGAUUUAAUGCGUUCCUUGGAUGAAACGGCACUGAUUUGUAGCGGUUGCAUUGACCACCCCCGCAUCAAGCAUGUGCAUGGAGUACGUCUCAGAAGUCCGAAGCUUCGGAUAAGCAUCGGUGGGUUAGUCGUGUAUCACAGUAAUGCGACACAUUUGCUCAGCUAGGCAAAUUUAAACAGUAUAAUGGAUGACGCUAGACAGCAAAGACCAGCCUUAGGGCAAACCUCCAUGUCUCAAAGGAGACUCGGGAUAAUAUUAUGCAACGGUUAUCUCUCAUCUUGGUCAUCUCCUCAUCCCUGGACCUCAGCCGAGGCCCCAAGUUACCGAAUCAAUCAACAACUUAGACGCUAGAAAUGAUCGUUAUUUUUAUCGUUAAAUGAGUUGAAUUGUCAUUCAUUGGAAAAGAUGACCAGGAGCUCGUUAUCCAAUCCAUCAUUCCACAUGACUGACGGAUCAUAGUUGAUACAGGAAAUAGCAACUUCGUGCGUUUUAAAUCCUAGACCGCAUGACCUGUGCGAACUCCAUUUGAUGGGUUAGCCAUGUGCUGUAAAUUCCUCUCUCUCUCUCUCUCUCUCUCUGUGAGACGCGUGCGCGCGCGCGAGCACAAACACGCACACACAACACAGACACAGACACACAACACACAACACACGCACAUGCACACACACACACCCAACCCCCCACACACGAACGCACGCACGCACACACACACACACGUACGUACGCACGUACGCACGCACACGCACACUUACACACGCAUGCACUCACACUCACACACGCAUUCCUCUAUCACUUCCCAUCCCCAUUAUCUGAGUGCAAAUCCCUACUGUCCCUUUUACUGGCCACCCUCCUGUUCUUCCAUUUCUCCCUUCCACCAGGGACUACCUCUCCUUCUAUCUCUUAUUUUCCCCACUUCUCCUUCUGGCUUGCACUACUUCCGUCGAGUAGAACAUCUACCACUUCCUCAAUGAUGCUCAUCCUCGUAUCCCCCUGCACGAGUCAGAUCUUCCAGUCGUUAUUCUCCUCUUAGAUGGCAGCAAACCUUCAGAUGUCCUCCUUCCGCAGCGACCCCGACUCCUUCUUCUCUUCGAUCCCGCCGUGGUAACCACCGCCAGGACGGGCCUUGGAUGCCCCCGAUAUUCAUCGGGCCUAACCCACAGAGCUCUUGUGAUCUCAGGCAGUGCCGGACUUUAUAAAAGGUACCUAUUUCUGGCUGGUUUUAUAAACGCAUAGCCAGUAAAUUCCCUUUAGCACAAUGUUCAGCGUUCCAACUAUAAUGUCAUUUUACAUCUCCUACAUAUAAACAAGAGAAUUCUGGCGAUAUAGUCUUCUUCGAGCAUUUAAGCCGCAUUUGCAUUGCAUUUCGUCCAAAUCUGGGUGUUUUAUUAAAUUUUGUGGGGUUUAACUCGUGCAAGAACUCUGUUUGGUAGUUUCUAAUUUCCUGUCAGGCUUCAAAACAUUUUGGUUUUAGAAAACUAAAUAUCAUCGAUGUGAACCUUACCGGCAUUUCAAAGUCGUUGAGAGAAUGUAAUGGUAUGGUUUUUGGAGAUUCAGACGUCGACCAUAACGGGGAAUAAGCUCUAUAAAUCUCAAAACGAUAGUUUCUUCUUUCAUAUAGUAUUAACCAUUUAUUUUUAUCAUUAUUCUUUCUCCUUUGCCUUACUCUUCCAUAGCUGCCUUAUUUACGUCAACUCGUAAGAGUUUCUCCAUCAUCCCAAUUAUGAGCCAUGCUGACCGUUGCUUUCAUUCACUUCAUGAGCCCAGGGAUUUUGUGUUUCCUCAAGGCCAAAAUCACUUGUCUUGAAGUUUCUGUCUCUACAGUCAAUAUCAAUGUUGCUAGAUGAGAAUGAAAUCUCCUACUCAAGUCGGAUAAUUCAUUAUUUGGCUUCCCAUCUCCUGUGAAAUGAUGAUAACUACAAAAUGCAAAAGUUUUCAGUAAUCUAAUUACAUGCCUUGGUAGAAGUCUUGGAGUUCAGAAGGUCAAUCUUCGACUUUGGCCUAGUUGCCAAAGGGUAUGCGUAUGGAUGAAGCGUAUUGGGGCAGACAGAAGGCUACACGGGGACGGUCUUUUCUAACAGAAUAGUUCACGACGACGACAUGGCAACCAACCCGUUCUUCUACUUUAUCGUCAUCUUAUAGAGACCAGGGGGGAAGGAGCAGUUGAUGUGCCACGGAGGACGAGACGUGUUUUCAAUCUGAUGAGAAAAGCCGUGCAUGGGAAGCUGACAUUAAGUGGCGAAUAAAUACGGAUAUGGAUGGAGGUACCGUCGUCUAUUACGAUUGUUUUUGUCGUCCGAACUGAGAUCCUUCGGCUCCUGUUAUUCAAAUUAUCUACCGACCUCUGAACCUCUUUUUCCCUUCUUUCUGUGUGUACAUGUGGGCUCUGUGGAUGUGGGGGCGUGGCUUUCUGUGUGUGUAUGUGCGGGGGGCGGCGUUGUUGCUGGCAGCGUUAUUAUGCAGGGAGAGGAGAGGAGAGGAGAGUCUCCAUAGCUGUCUCGAGUCCUAUUGCAACAGCAGCGCUGGGAUCUCAUAGAUCACUGCACUCUUCAGGAACCGCAGAGGUCGCAAAAUACGCAUCAUUCGUUCAUUCUUAUUUCAUUAUAUUGAUGCGAAUUUUCUUUUACUGCAUUACCCUUCAUUUUCUUUUCAACUUCUUACAUUUAAAAUUCCGCCGUUUCGUCCUUAUCUCCGGUUGACAUCCUAGCUAACAGUACAGAACCGGGGGAAAGAUACUUCACAAGCUGAGCUUUGGAGAUGUCGACCGGCGAACGAUUGGGAUCGGACUAUACAUCACGAUAAAUGAGCCAUGUUUUUGAGCAAAAUGAAAUGAAAUAACGAUCUGCUUGGUGUUUCUCGAACCAAAAGGCCGGUUGUUCCGUCGGCGGGAAUAUAAGACUGCUCCACGGGUACUAGGCCACGCCAUGCCAAAUUCCUAUGCGGGCAAUCUACAGAAUGCACUCAAAGGCUCUGGUCACAUGGGGACAUCAUGUAAAUAUAAAGACCGAGAAUAUUUUAGUGAGCUUCUUAUUGUUUUAUUGGCCUCCUGGUCUCCAGUCUGACGUUGACCUCUUAAAAAAGCUUAAUUUACUCUCGCUGCCGUUCCCUUCGUUUUUCGAUUUUUUUAAAGAACAAGUAGGUCCGGGAGCGUUACACGUUAAUCCAAGAUUUCUCGUCAAAUGUGAUAUUACUUAAGAACCACAGGAGCUAAAAAUCAGACCUCCAAAAUGGAGUGUAAGAUGGAUGGGGAGGACCCGAACUCGGACAAAAGAGUUGAUCUGGCCAUGCUUUGGUUCCUGCGGCGAAGCAAAUAUUCAACCAUUGUUUCCCUGAGAAGACUGAUGCCUAAUGUUCGUCCAAAAAUGGUUAGGCGCUGCAUCAAUGUCCAAAGUCGCCAUCUACGAGAAGGUGGAUGUCCUUGAAACUUGGUUCCCGGAAAAGAAGGAUCUUCGGUCAACAGUUGACUGUGGUGAGGUUAGGAUUGCAAUUCAGUCGUUUCCUGAUAUCAUUGGACGAAAGAAAGUUUCCCACUUUAUGAGUGACAGCGGUCAAUGUCAAGGAGAAAGCAACAAGGCACCUGUAUCAUAUUCAUUUCCCUCGUCUAGUUGACAGCCGUAAAGGUAGGAGAAGAGUCUUUGCCCGUGGACAUCAUCGUCGAGGCCAAGUCAAUUUUGGCUCAUAAUUGUUGGAGAUUGGCUGUUAGUCAAAGUCUUAGUAAAUUCAAGACAAUGAUUUGAGACCACCCUAGCUUUCCUACUGAUAAAUACCAGUCCACUGAGACUUAAAUUCUUUAAGCCACGCGAAAACAUUGCCGAAGGUAAUUUGACGUAAUAUGAAUCUCAGAUCUGUUUUGAGAAAAAUUGUUUCGACGUGCUGAAACAAAAAAUCUAAGAGUUCCUUUUUUUUUUCUCUCCACCGAUUUCCGCAUCUCCGUGCUAUUCAUUCCUGUGCAAAGGGCCUAAAGUUAUAGUAGACGUCUACAACGCUCAUCAUUUCUUAUUGCAAACAAAUAUUGUCAAGAGAGAGUUGACUGAUGACUCUGUUACUGUGAUACAUGUGAGCAUCCACAUCGUGUUGAUAGUUACUUAAUUUUGUGGGCCAUGCGAAGGAUUGAAUUCCCCACUUGUCCCCCAUCAUAAUGAAGAUUACGGCCAUACCGAACGAAUUUAGGUAGACAACCAAGCCGCGAAUGCGCUAAAUAAUUUUGGCAGCCAGGCGUUGUAAAGUAUUCCCGCGUUAGUAGGGACCUAUAGCGAAAUAAUAUGUCCUGAUGCCGAUAAAGGGUAACAAGUUACUUGUAGAUUAUGGAGAUAAUGGAGAAAAUAAGCGAAAUCCUUUCCCACUGUGAUGAAACAUACUUCGGAGGAAGAUCCUCUUAAGAUCACAAUGCUUUGUGGAGAGUUUUUACCCAGCCGACGAAGAACGCGGAUGAUUUGUGUACGGAAGGCAAAAGUGGAAUGGAUUUUCAUUUAUUCAUGUUCUGAAAAGAUAAUUUUCGUGCAUGCAGACACAGAGACCUUACGGUCCUUAUCAAUCAUAUUUCAACGUGACUCGCUAGAGGCCGGGUUCAUAAGUCACCCCCGUUGAAGGAAUCCAGGAAGUUCCUUGGAUGAAAUUUGACACGGUGAACUUGGAACUCUCGCUGGAACCAAUAACGUGGAACCCUGGCCAACCAACCCGGCCCGAGGUUCCGGCGCCCGAUCCCUGGUUGAGUCCCUCGGCGAAGUAGAGCGUGCGGAGGCCAAAUCCGCCGGACCACUCGGCCCACCCUCUGGGGUGAAUGAAGCCGCCAAUGCUAGACUGAAUGAUGACCGCCCUCGAGUACUGCUUCCACGGCCGGCCAAGGUAAGACCUAACCGAGGAGAGGUCGGAGGCGGCUUGAAUAUUGCACUUCUGGGCAAUGAACCCCGUGUUCUGGCCGGGGUCCGUCCGGCCGUUGGCCAUCAUGACGUUAUAGGAACCAGAUCUCGGCCGGCGGAAGCCCAGGUUGCAGCUCUGGAAGACGGCGGCUGCGUUUCCGAAGAUGAAGUCGACGGUGCCUUGGAUAUCGCACUCCCGGUAAAACUGGCGUAGAGAAUGGGCGUAGAGCGUGUCUUGGUAACCCCGGAUGCUACAACGGUAGAAGACGGCGCGAUCGGAAAUGACCCUAAGGGCGAGGGCCUGGCCGCGACCGGGGCCUGCAGUGUUCUCGAACCCGAUAUUCUUCGCAAUGAAUCGGUCCCCCGUGACAACUGCAAUUAAAGGUUGGACCAUUUUAAUAUAAAUGGGAACGUCGUUCACUACGCAGUGGCCGUAAGCAGUGAAAAGCCUGAAAACACACAUCUGGCUCCCGCGGAUGAUGAGAAUAAAUGGCAAAACUGUAACCUAAAUGCGGAAAAGAUGCGCCUUCAGAAUUCUACUAGAAUAAAGACUCGUUAUCUUUUGAACGGAAACUGUUGUCACCGAUAUAUUGGAGAAAUAGAAGAGUAACUGCGGAUGCUUAACAAGUUGAUCAGUAAAAUGGGUGAAGCCAAGAUUUAUGAAAAAAGAAAGAAAAAAGAAACAACGAUUGACUGACAUCCUUAUCAUUUGUUGUUCAUACCAGAAUCCACGCAAGGGUUCACAUAACCUACCAACGGUUGCAGUGUCGGGCAUGGACGUGCCGCCGCCGACGCUAGAACCAUAGCUGAUGAUCGUCGAGUACUUCCCAUCUCCCACCAACGUCACGUCGUCUCUGCUCACUGUGAGCUUCUCCUUGUACACUCCUGCCUUCAUGAAGAUCACAGUUCGGCCACCGCCAGAGGAGCUACCAGCAAGCGCGGCUCCUAUCGAGGUGUAAUCCCCAGAGCCGUCGGCCGCCACCACCGCUGUAGCCUUUAUUUCGGCGCUACCGAGGAGUUCACGGUCCUCCUUGGAGACCCAUGUCGGAAAAUCCAGCUCAGAGACGUGGCGGCGGGAGCUCUGGGUUUCCGCAUCGUCGGGGAUGCGAUUGGCGAGGGCGAGGGCGUUGCUAGAUAGCACGGCCAGGCGUUCCAUCUUUCUGGACAUCUCUUUUGACAACGCGCUGGGUAGUUUGCUGACGGAGUCUUUGCACGAUUCCUGAAACGUGAUCACGGCGCUCAACCAUGUCUGGAUGUUCUGUUUGUCCUUGACAGGUGCGACCUCGAGCGCAUUAAGGGACUGGUUGAGCCUUCUGAGGGACAUCUCCAUGAGCUCAUUACAGUAACCUGCAAGUUCAUGCCGCAGGGAUCAGUAUGUGACAUCUGCUGCCAAUAUAACGCAAAAACUUGUAACCACAAGUGUGUAUAAGUUGAUGGCCAUGCAAACAGCGCCUACCUAUGGCCUCUCGUGCUCCUGAUGUUUCCACAGCCUCAAGUGAGGAGGACAUGGAAACUCCUGGCGUCACCUCAUCUCUGAUCGUCUCUACAAGAACGGAAGCAACGCCAGCAAAAUCCUGUCCGAACGCUGGGUCACGUCUAGAAAGAAGGGUGUCAACGCACUGCUGCGGAUACCUGGCGUAUCCACAUACUCUGCGGACAUCUUCUGCGUAGGACGCCUUCCCGUGGGCUGCCGUUAUCCAGGAAAAGGCCAGCAGUGAAGCAAACAGGGAGAGAAGGAGACAUGGUCUCACAGAGAAAGAGCGAGAACAGAGAGUCCACCGGCACAUCCUUCCCUCAACCGAGCGAUCCGGAUUUCGCCCAAGCACACGGACUAACAUUGCUGUUUGACGGGUUAUAUGGAUACCGGGAUCUCGAAGUCGUCCCCAUCGAGGUCUUCAAGUUCUCACUGGUAGGUGACUAGUCUAUUCAUGUGAGUGACCAGGGAGCUGUCUUCUCCCGUUUCAAGGUCGAAGCCUUAGUGGGAGUUGGUGUGGCUUAUCCAUCAUCACGCGAACUUAUAAACUACGACAACGAAGUUCCAAUUGUCACAAUGGGAAAGGAGAACGUAUACGUUCGUAUGUCGGGGCCGUAAGCAUACAUCUUUUUGUACCGCCUGACACCUGGCGUCUCCUCCAGGCUGCAACGCACCGCCUACUGGCGAUGGAUACAGCUAGUUCUAAAAUCCAAGUUAAAGCUCUCAUUUACAGGGCUUCUUCUUUCCUCUCUCAAUUAGCACUCCCAUACAAGGUCGGGUGCGGCCGAAUUCAGAAGAGGGCAAGUGAGGCUGAAGGCCGAACGACUACGUCAGAAUCGAACAAGAUCCAAAGAAGGGCCCGCGGCCCACAUUGGCCCCUCGUUGAAAUAUCGUCAUAUCGUCGUUGUACAGGGAACGAGGGGAGAGCGACGGUUUCCGGUCCGGGCAAAGGUAGCUGUUCACCUGCCCUUUGGAGGGAGCUGUGUGCUCAAGUCAAGGCCCCGUCCGGUGUACCCUCUGGCCUUCUCCUGCCGUCGCAUCGUCGGGGUACCUGCCCUCUCCCCAGACAUAAAGAAUGGAAGUGUCCAUUUUUUAGGAGGGGACUUCUCCUACCCCGCGUACAGAUUGUUGUGGGGAUAAGAUAUUGAGUGCCGCGAGAUGCAACUCCUUCAGAGGAGAGGACCACCCGGUCGAUGACCGCCAGAUCUCCCCGCCUAAGGCAUGCAUUUCUGAAUCGCUGUCUCUCCGAUACCAGCUAACAACUGCCCGUUAGUCUAACGGCGUUAGGCACGCGGCGGGUGGGGUGGGGGAAGGGGGGGGGGGAUCAGUAGAGCAAAUUCCGAAAACCGCGACGGUGGACCGUCACUGACACCCUCCCUCUACGCCCGCCAAGAGACAUCAAAAGAAGGAAACGGCAUCUUCGAGAGGUAGGUCAGGGACUACUCAUGUGGCAGGUUGCUUGUCGUUCAUUAUGAUGGCCAGUGGCGACUCGUCACAAUUCUCCUCCGUGGGCUGAAAGGUGUUGCCGGCGCUGCGAAGCUUUUCGCAUAAUAUCAGGCCGUAAUGCUUCCGGCUCUCCCGUCUCCUCUCUGACUCUACUGUUAUUGGGCAGACGUUUAUUGGGGUGUGCGGGCUCUUCUUCCUGGGCAAUCAAUGAGCCGUUCUUGUGCCGUUGUUUUCAUCACGAACCCCACCAAAUAGAACGGACCACCCGCACCCUCAGUCCGUAUGUACACGAGGCCAUGGAUAAUUAUCGAGAAGCGAGACCCCCUCAGAUCGUUUAGAAAUGAAUAAUGGAGGGGUUCCGCUCCUUCCACCUCCUCAUUCCAUUUAUUCUUCAUAUUUUGUUCCUAUUGUUGCAGGGGUAGUCACGCGCAUCAAAGUCAACGCUUAGACCUUGCGGUGGGGGUGAGGGGAGUGGAAACAUGAAAAAUACUCUAAUAAGAAUACUUAUUGACAGCGAUACCACGGGGCACUGCCAAAUCAUUUUUUUUCUCAACGCUUGACUUCAAUCACUACUACUUGCGUUGCGACUCCGGUGACGGGCAUCAUUCAGAAGUUGCUUGCUCGCCGUGGCUUCAUCUCGACCAAUAAAAGGGUUUGGCGCAUAAAUUCUAGACUGGGGAGCGAUGAAGACUUUUCUCAUACUCGAAGAGAAGCAUUACCAACCACUCCAAUCCCCUUAUUUUGUAGGUUUUCAUGUUACACCCGUCUAGGCCCCAGGCUGAUGGCUUGCGAUGGGCCGGCGGUCGCUUUGGGCUCGGGUCCGAUAGGAUCUCACUCGCAGGAGGUCGGACGAAUUGGAGACUGUCUUCCUCCGAUUCUUAGGACGAGAGGCGAGAGAUGGCGAGGGCGUUGCUGCAGAGCUUGGAGAAGUAGUCGUUCCUCUCCGUCAGCGGCGAGCUGUAGCCGGGCCGCUCUGCAAACCCCUCUUCGCACGAGUCGGAGUCCGUCAUGGCCCCAGAGACCCUCGCGUUGACCGACCCGUAGGCGCCGUCCUGGGCGUCCGCCAACGACUCCCUGAGGCCGUCCAGCGCGUCCGAAUACUGGGUCAGGCAGUCAUCCAGGCAUUGCGUCACGUAGUCGUCGCCGGCAUGUCCGGCGGCGGCGUUGGCCCUCAGUUGCCUCGCGUAGGCGAGCGUCCCCUCCGCGUGGGCAAUGCAGGCAUCGAGCGAGAUCAGAGCAAGGCCCUUCUCGUCGGCAUUCCGGCUGUCGGGGUGGGACUGAAGGGUGGAUACGCAGACGUCGAAGUACUCCGUCUGCCGGCAGGCCGACGAGAUCGAAUCAGUGACGUUACCUUCCUCGCCGAGCAAUCGGACGGAAUCCCCCAGUUGGACCCAGACGGCGACCAGGAGGAGAGCUGAGAAGAAUGUAGAUGCCCCUCUUGCGUUCAUCUUCCGCUCCUCCGUGAGGAGAGAACGGAGGAAGGGGAGCGGCCAAUUUAAAUCCAGCCUCCCGUGCGCAAAGUUAAUUCAUAAAAGAAAAAAAGAAAUCGAAAGGGGCUUUUUCGGAGCAUCUGAUUCCUUCGUUGUUAAUGGUGGAAUUAAAGCACCGUUCCCUCCUUUCACACAGAUGAAACGAGCCGAUCCGAAGUCCCCCACGUCUUUAGUUGAAGCCGCCGCUGGUCGGCACUAAACUGUUCCAGUUUCAUCCGAAGACCUUUAAUGCCGAGGUGGGAAAAGGGUGGCGGACACCGGCCCGACAACCACAAAGUGGCCGAAGGGCCCGAUCACAAUGGUGGUUGCGGCGGCGGCCGAAAGCCGACCAACCCCUUCAGACGGAACCUGAGAGCGGCAGCAAAAAGAGGGAGGCCGCCUGCUAACAAAGGCUCCCGACAACGAGUAGUGGGAGAGGAGGGAACACGGCGGCCUAUCCAUCAGCCAUGCAUUUCAGACUGCGAUGGGCAUGCGAGUGAGACUCCGACGUAUGCGAGAGUGAGUGAGUGAGAGAGAGAGAGAGAGAGAGAGAGAGAGAGAGAGAGAGAGAGAGAGAGAGAGAGAGUAGAGAGUAGAGAGAGAGAGAGAGAGAAGANNNNNNNNNNNNNNNNNNNNNNNNNNNNNNNNNNNNNNNNNNNNNNNNNNNNNNNNNNNNNNNNNNNNNNNNNNNNNNNNNNNNNNNNNNNNNNNNNNNNNNNNNNNNNNNNNNNNNNNNNNNNNNNNNNNNNNNNNNNNNNNNNNNNNNNNNNNNNNNNNNNNNNNNNNNNNNNNNNNNNNNNNNNNNNNNNNNNNNNNNNNNNNNNNNNNNNNNNNNNNNNNNNNNNNNNNNNNNNNNNNNNNNNNNNNNNNNNNNNNNNNNNNNNNNNNNNNNNNNNNNNNNNNNNNNNNNNNNNNNNNNNNNNNNNNNNNNNNNNNNNNNNNNNNNNNNNNNNNNNNNNNNNNNNNNNNNNNNNNNNNNNNNNNNNNNNNNNNNNNNNNNNNNNNNNNNNNNNNNNNNNNNNNNNNNNNNNNNNNNNNNNNNNNNNNNNNNNNNNNNNNNNNNNNNNNNNNNNNNNNNNNNNNNNNNNNNNNNNNNNNNNNNNNNNNNNNNNNNNNNNNNNNNNNNNNNNNNNNNNNNNNNNNNNNNNNNNNNNNNNNNNNNNNNNNNNNNNNNNNNNNNNNNNNNNNNNNNNNNNNNNNNNNNNNNNNNNNNGAGAGAGAGAGAGAGAGAGAAUGUGAGUGAGAGAGACAGAGAGAAUGAGUGAGUGAGUGCGAGGGAGAGACAGAGAGAAUGAGUGAGUGAGUGAGAGAGAGAGAGAGAUAGAGAGAGAGCACUCUUCAUAGUCAUGCGAGUUGAGACAUCCGUCAACCCAUCGAACCGGAAAACCAGAGGAGAGAUGCCCCCCCUCUCUUCUUGACCCUCCCCUCCCCUCUCCCUCACAGUGGCACAGUGCACCUGAACCCAGUGCCCCUCACGAUACCGGGUGUUCCCGGAACAGGCAAACACCGCCUGUUUCAUGGUGGUGGCGGUGGAUGAACUGAGGGCGCGACUGAGUCAGUUGUACAUCCCCAGGUGCACCGGAACGCCGGCGGCCCUGAUCCAGUCGCCGCCCUGGAUGAAGGCCGCCACUGUGUAGCCCUGCGCCUCCGCCUUGCCGAUCACCUUGAACCCCGGCCACGCCACACGCUUCGACAACCCCGCGCCGGGGCCCUUGUUGCUGUACUCGCCAUAGUAGAGGGUCUUGAGGGCAAAGUCCCCGUCCCAGGGCAUGUAGCCGUCGGGCUGGAUAAAGCCCCCGAUGGUAGACUCCAUGAUGAUGGUGCGGGAGUACUCCUUCCACGGCCGGCCGAGGUAACUGCGGAUGGGGGCGGCCCCGGGCAGCGCGAGCUUCUUGUCGGCGACGAAGCGGCAGUUUUGGAUGACGAAGCCGGUGGACUCGCGGCGGUCGAUGCGGCCCUGGGCGGUGACGAUGUUCUGCUGGUUGUCGAGGGGGCGGCGGACGACGAGCACGCAGUUCUGAAAGACGGCGGCGGCGUCGCCGAAGAUGAAGUCGACGGUGCCGGCGACGACGCAGCCGCGGUAGAACUGCCGGUGGGUCUGCGCGUAGAGCGUGUCCUGGUAGCCCUCCAUGCGGCAGUUGAGGAAGAUGGCGCGGUCGGACUGGACGCGGAUGGCCACCGCCUGAUGCUUGAUGGCGCCGGCGGUGUUGCGGAACCCCAUGGCGAUGGCCAUGAAGCCCUCUCCGAUGGCAACUGCACGCACGUUCGGGAAGGGAGGAGGAGGAUCAUCACGCCGACGUCGGAGCGGCGAACGAAUGAGGACGCGACGGGACGAAAAAUUUGGACAUGAACGUACGACGAUCACGUUUUAAAAAUUUAAACACGGGAUUUUUAUAAUUUUCGGAGAACCUAAAAAUGAUUCUUCACUGUGGCUGCUGGGAUUCGAGCCCAGGUCUCCACGGCCACAACGUGGAAUUCUAACCACUAAACUACAGCCACAUGUUGUGUCUGACAAUAAAUUAACAAUAAAUAUUUCAAAAUUCUUACCAAAAGUCGCCGUCUCAAAAGUCCUCGUCCCGUCCACGAAGUUCUUGUUUCCGGUGACGAUGGUCCUCCUCGAGCCAUCCCCGUACAUGGUCACGUUCACCAUCUCCUUCGUCACCGUCGGGCUCUCGUCGUAAGUCCCGGCCUUGACGUAGAUGACGUACCUUAGCCAUGCAGAAGAAUAAGCGGUCAACAGCGCGAAUUAACAGGCCUCUCGUGGUUCCUGCCACGUGAGUUCCGCGGGAGGAGCCGCGGAGCUUCCAUUACCUUCCUUGGUAUUUCUCCGGGAUAGCGGCGAGCGCGGCAGAGAUAGUCCUGAAGUCCCCGCUGCCGUCCUUCGCCACCACAACGUUCGGCUUAAGGUUCUUCGUCGCCUUCUCCUUCAGGAGCCUUCGGUCCCCCUCCGGCACCCACGCCGGGAGACCACCCGCGUCGGACAGGAGCCGCCUGCGGACGCCCAGCCCACGCACGUCGAGCAAGGAGAAGAGUGAAGCGGCUUCGGUGACGAUGGCGAGGGCAUUACUGGUCAGUUGCUUGGCGGUCUUCAUGGCGUUCUCCAUUUUGGUCUUGAACUCCCCCUCGGGGAAGCCGUCGAUGCAAGUCUGCUGGUACGACAUGACAGCGCUGAGCCAAUUCCUGAGGUCGUGUUCCUUCUUUGGAAGCUGCUCCGCCGGACUCCUCCCGACGUCCUGGAGCGUCUGCAAGAGCUCGUCCUUGGCGUAAUGGUAAAGGCCCUUGCAGUCCUCGACAGCGCCUUCGACCAUGGGGGCGUCGGUCUUGAUCAGCUUGGCAUGGCUGAAGGCCGCGGAAACCUCGUCGGCGACGGCGGCAAUGGCCGCCUUGAUGAGAUCCCUUGGCUGGAGGUCCGUGGAGGAGUUACCGGCGGAGGAAUUGAGCACCCUGGACAGACUUGACUCGCAAGCGUGCUUGAAGUCCGUCGAGGAACAGAUCAUCUCGAUGCUCCUCGAGCUGGUGCGGAGUUCACUAGAGGAGGCGGCGGGGACGUUAGAGGGGUCCUUGGAGAAGAAGUGCAGACUCGCGGCGACGCCAACAAGGACGACGAGGAGGAGCGCGACCGAGCUGCUGACUAGGAUGAUCUUCUUCUUCCGCUGCUCCCUCUCCGCCCUCCGGCGCUCCGUGAGGUGCCCGAAGUCCUGGAACAUCGUGGCGUUCGUGGCUUUCUACUCCGGGGCGGAAGAGGAACCCCUCCCUGCCGGCCCUCCGAGCUAUACGGCAAGGCAGAGAGGGCGGCGGAGGCAGAAGGAGGAAGAGAACGAACGGGGCGGGGUGGACCUUCAAGAGCGGAUCAAAAGAUGGGAAUUUUCUCCCCCUUCUUGAUCAAAUACGCGCUCACUCGCUAGCGAUCGAAGCUCCUCGUCUCGUUAAAGGGGAUGAGGCUCCGAGAACUGUGAGGUGCUCCGCGCGGAAGACGACGGUUGCGGUCGGGGAACAGCCCGUCGCCCCCAACGUAAGGCCGCCCGUCGCUCCGGAGAAUCCGUCCACCGGUCCUGAGAUAUGAGGUUCAGCCGCUGCCCUGGCCCUCCCCUCGCCCCAAGUUCAGGUCCAAAAAAAGCACCCAGGAAACGAUUUCGAAGGGCCAGUCGUCCAUCCGCAUAUCGUCCUCGCCCGCUGGCGAACGCGAACGGGCCUGGGUCAAAACAGGGAACUGCCUCCGCAUAUGAAUAGGAUCUAUCUGCGCAUUGUUGAUAUUUCCUUGAGCGGAGUUACGGGUCGGAUCCCACCAUCCUCUGAACCUUGCACCAGACAAGCUCCCUCGUACCAAGCCCAACGACCUCGGUGCUUACUCGUCCUACGUGCUUACUUGGGAAAACAAACAAGACGCACCGAAACGUCUUUGGCGGCAGGUCGCCUGGUCCGAGCAAGGGCCGGCGUGUGUCGGCGCGUGGCAACCAGCUCCUGCCACCCGUUCAUGAGAGGAUUUCAGGGGGCGGGGGGGAGGAAUCCAAGAAGUCCGGCGAGGAGAAACGCUUGCCAUGACCUUGUCAAUAUCCGGCCUGCCGCGGAUGUCGGCGCCCUAUGUGAAUCGAAGGGAAAUGUCUAUCACAGCCCCGUGUCGAAGGGGAAGGACGUCGACUCCAGCCACUCGUCGCCUGAGAUGAGCUCGGAGACGGUGAAGCUCACGGCAUCGUCGUAGCCCAUGAGAUGGUACCCGGGCCACUUAACUCGUUCCUCCGUCCCCGACCCCGGCCCGAUGUUCUCGUAUUCGCCGAAGUAGAGCGUCUUCAGUCCCUGAUCCCCCACCCACUCCGACCACCCUGCCGGGUCUAUCAAGCGGUCGAUGUAGGACUUCAUGUACACCGUCCUCGAGUAAAGCUUCCACGGCCGGCCGAGGUAGGUCUGGGUGCUCCCCGGGCCCGACGAGAGUUCUUUCGAGGCGAGGAUGGUGCAGUUCUGGAUGGAGAUCCCGGUGUUCUGGUUGGGGUCGUCGCGGCCUUGGGCGAUGAUGGCAUUGGCCUGACCAGGGAUGGGCAUCCGGGCGAAGAUAUUGCAGGCCUGGAACACGACGGCGGCGUUGCCGAAGAUGAAGUCGAUGGUGCCGUAGAUGUCGCACUCCCGAUAGAACUGGCGGAAGGAGUGCACGUAGAGGGUGUCCUGGUAUCCCGUGACGGCGCAGCGGUAGAACGCGGCGAGGUCAGCGUUCACCCGGAGGGCCGAUGCCUGGCCCUUCCCCGCCCCCGCCGCGUUGUCGAACGCGAUGUCCCGUGCGAGGAAUCCUUCGCCGGACACGGCUGACAUGGGCAUUGAAGAGAGCAGAGAAUCAGCGACACGACAAUCACAGCCACAUCAAAGGAAGACCCCAAGAAUCUAACGUACGGGCAAAUAUUGGUUUCUACGCGGGACGAAGACGGGAACUCUAAAACAUGACUGCUAAUCAGGGUCGUCUGCCGCCUACUCCAGGACGCAGACGGCUCACAGAGAGGCCGCCCGCGCAUGGCCUGGCAUCACUAUGGUUGAACAUCAAUUCGUGGGCCGGGCCCUGAAAUGUGGACCCUCCGACUGGGCUUGGUCGACCUAGAUGAGGUCGCCAGGCCAGAAACUUGCACCGUCACGCGAAUGGUUCUACGGAUGAAUUCCGAUUGAACAGAUCUGUAAUUGUAUAAGGUUGCGGGGAACAGGGUGGGUUCGCGUGGUGGCGGAUACUCACCGACAGUGGCGGACCGGAAGGUGGUCCAGCCGUCGCCGGCACUCCGGCGGCCGCGGAUUAUGGUGAUACCGCUGCCGUCGCCGAGGAGAACGAUGUUGGUCUUGUAGCUCGGUACUUCAACGUUCUCCUCGUACACGCCGGCACGCACGAUAAUUAUCGUUCGGUCGGCGCUGUUGUUUGGCGCGAAAUUGAUGGCGGAGCCGAGAGUCGUGAAGUUCCCUUUGCCGUCGGCCGCAACUGUCAGUAUUGAGCCCGGGUCGUACCCAUCGUCGAUCUCUCCACUCUGUAGAAGUCGGCUGUCGCGGCGGGAGAGCCACGCAACCAGCCGUUCGUCGUGGGGCCGCCGGGAACCGGGGGUCCGUCGCUGUAUCUCUGAUGGGAGAAUGCCGAGGGAAUUUUCGACGUGCAUGUUUGCCGCGGUCAGCAACUCGACGAGGAUGGGCUUCACCGGGCCCGACGCCAGAGAGAGGCCCUCGAGGCAGGUGGCGCCGUUGGUAAGGGCAGCGCUGAGAUGCGUGCGGACGUCGGAGAGCAGCCGGCCUGACUGAAGGACGGCGGCGCAUUUGUUCAGGGAGGAGAGGGUGAUCUUGUGGAGCUCUUCGCAGUCCUGAAGUGACCCCCGAAGCCCCUCUACGAUGCCGUGGGAGGAGGUGAAGACGGCAGAGAUCUUGGUGGCUUCGGCGAUGGCGGACUGGAUCAACAGCGAGACAAGGGAGAGGAUGGAGGGAACGGCGUCGGUCUUCAUAGAGACCUUGAGGGAGUCGAAACAAGCAUCUGGACGGGGGGUGGAGCGGCAGAGAGCCCCAAUGGACGUCAGACGGGCGUCCCCAGUGGAGAGAGAGGUGUUGGUCGGGGCGGCAGAUGACGGUGAGGGUGGCAUAAGAAACAGUACUACCGUUACAAGCAGUGGCAGGGUGGAUGCUGGCCGCGGGGGGCGAGGAGCGGAAGAGGAAGCCAUGGAGGAGGGGCGGGGGUCACGCGGGAGAGGAUGAGGCAGAAGGCGAGGGCGGACCGGGGGGGGGGGGGGGGGAGUCGCAGUGCAGUGGUAAUUAAUGAGUUGAGGUGCGAGCGAGGCGAAGCCGCAGACAUCCCAUCAAUGGAGGUCGCUACAGGGGGCGUGAACAACGAAGGUGAGACAUGUGAGACCCAUCAUGGGUGCAGCCCACGUGGACACCGGCGGCAGAGACGCCCCGCGUCGAAAGCACCGUUGACCGCGGGGCGCGAGGCGACGACGCCACCUUCUCCCGCAGUUCGCACACCCUUCACGGCGGAUCGUCUCCCCCCGUCGCGGCCCAGUGGACUGCUCCGGCGGCGACUCCGCCGGCAUUUCCUCAGUGGGGACUGGGGAAGGGACGACCCGCGAGGUAUCUACAUGCGUCAAGUCAGAAGCCUCGCCGGCCACAUUCGGCGACCCACCGGGAUCAGUUCGAGUUGGGUCAUUAUUCUCUGUACACGACGCAUAAUCCGCGACAUAAAUAGCGACUUAUUGCGCAACGCGUCGAACAUGGAUACGAUCUUCAUGCGGUGGUUGGGCUCUCAAACAGUCAGCCCCGCAGUGUACCUGACCCCCGUCGCCGGCAGCCACUGGUUCCCGUCGAUGAACUGCGCGACGGAGAAGUUGACUGCCACCGCGGGGUCGGUGAUGGCGUGGAAGCCCGGCCAUUUCACGCGGCCGCUCAGCCCCGAGCCCGGCCCGAAGUUCAUGUACUCCCCGUAGUAGAGCGUGUCGAGGGCGAAGUUCCCCGCCCACUCAAGCCAGCCCUCCGGCGGGAUACCCGAGCCCAGGUACGACUGCAUGACGACCGUCCUCGAGUACUUCUUCCACGGCCGCCCGAGGUACGUUAUCGGUAGCGCCGCCGCCACCGCCCCGCUCGCGUUGUCGCCCUCCACGGAGAUGUUGCACCCGUGGAUGGAGAAGCCCGUGUUCUGGUCGACGUACUUGCGGCCCUGGGCGGUGACGGAGUUCUUCUGCUUCGGCAGAGGGCGACGGGCGACCAUAGUGCAGCUCUGGAAGACGGCGGCGGCGUUGCCGAAGAUGAAGUCGAUGGUGCCGGCGAUGCGGCACUCGCGAUAGAACUGUCGGAGGGAGUGGGCGUAGAGGGUGUCCUGGUACCCCAGAAACUCCACCUGGAAGAGGGCGGAGAGGUCCGAGUCCGAGCGGAAGGCGACAGCCUGGUGCUUCGCUGGGCCAGCCGUGUUCUCCACCGUCAGGCCUCGCGCUAUGAACCCCUUCCCGGAGACCGCUGUCGACACACAUAUCAGACUGAGCUCGGGGGAAAAAGGCAGUAAAAAAGUAGCCAGUCAGUAUUAAUGCGCAAUUAAUCAAUCAUAGAAUCGUCAUUUCUUUAUAUUUUAUUCGUUCGAUCGAUCGGAACGCAUCUGGCCUCGAGAUGUUCGAAGUUGACUCAUGUGGACUGCAAUAGUUUAUGAUCACUUAAAAACGGAACGCCACUGAUCGGAGGUGGAUAGAGUAGUAAAUAGGUUCUUAAAAUAAGAGUCCUGCUCUCGACCGGACGCAGUAAAGACCUGGCGGGAGGCUUCGUCGGCGCGUAGCCCCCGAUGCUGCGCGCGUCUCGGCUCUAGCGCUGAGGACCUGAUCCAGGGAAGGGACCGGAGACAUAUGGAGAAGACGAGUUGCGGCCACUUACCGA